rnacentral:lncRNA from 1 species
UUACCCAUAAUAGUCCUUUCCGUCCAUUUUUUCCAACAAACGUUAAAUAUUGUACAGGUUGCAUUCUGGAUGUAUAUGGUGAACCAAUAUACAUAGUGGUACACCGUAGACCUUAAUAAUAUUUUAAAUUUUAACCAUUCGAUUUUUUUGACAAAAAUAAAACCAUUAGAUCUUGUUGGUCUACUAUAUCUAAUAGUGAACCACCAACAUAUGAUAUAUUUUUGCUUUAUUCAUCUUCUUCCUCCGGUAACCCAGAUCUUUACCCAUAUCUUCUUUCAGUAACCCAGAUCUUGCAUCUUUCAAUCACACCCGAAAUCGAUUGGAAAUCACUGGUUGAUGUCUCCAUCUCCACUGAAAUCAACUGAUAGUUUGAAACGCUAAAUCUCAAUUGGGGCUUCGUUCCAAUCUCACAGGUUGUUGUUCUUGUUAUUCGUUAUUGUUGAAAAUUUAUGGUUGUUCUUGUUGUUUCUUCUUCACCAUCUUCUUGCUGUAUUUAUUAAUCAAAUAGAGGAAAAAAAUUGACAUCAUUUGGAUCUGGGUUAUAAGUAGCGGUAAACAAAAAGAAGAAACCUUAGUAGAUAAAUUGCCAUAUGGAUCUUCAAGCUGCGUGCAAUUCUUUAUUAUACAAGUAACAAAUUAUUACUCACAACACAAAACCAUAUAUCAAUUUUGUAAUUGGGUUUUGAUUUUGUUGUUCAUUUUUAGAUUUUAUGGGUUUUGAUUUUCUGAUUUUCUGGGUAUUGUGAUCAAUUGUCUCCUAUUGAUUUUACGGAGCUUUUUUUCUUUAAGCGACUAUUUUGAAACCUAAAAUGUAUUUAAGGGACCAAUAGACUAAUUAAGCCAAUAGUUUAAGUAUUGUUAGAUAUAUUAGAGUUUAAAUAUUGGACUUUAUAGUAGUCUAGUAGUCCAUUAGUAUAUAUAUCGUC